AACGAACGCUGGCGGCAGGCCUAACACAUGCAAGUCGAGCGCACCUUCGGGUGAGCGGCGGACGGGUGAGUAACGCGUGGGAACGUGCCCUUUAGUGCGGAAUAGCCUCUGGAAACGGAGAGUAAUACCGCAUACGCCCUUCGGGGGAAAGAUUUAUCGCUAAAGGAUCGGCCCGCGUUGGAUUAGGUAGUUGGUGGGGUAAAAGCCUACCAAGCCGACGAUCCAUAGCUGGUUUGAGAGGAUGAUCAGCCACACUGGGACUGAGACACGGCCCAGACUCCUACGGGAGGCAGCAGUGGGGAAUCUUAGACAAUGGGGGAAACCCUGAUCUAGCCAUGCCGCGUGAGUGACGAAGGCCCUAGGGUCGUAAAGCUCUUUCGCCAGGGAAGAUAAUGACGGUACCUGGUAA
rnacentral:rRNA from 1 species